AGGUCAGGAAGCAGGAGCUGAU
rnacentral:piRNA from 1 species